rnacentral:lncRNA from 14 species
UGAGGGAGCACAAAGGCUCCCAGACCCAGGACCUGCUUACAGGCUGGUCCACACCCAGGGAGCCGCAGAGCUCGGCCUUCCCCCUGCACCAACAGGAACGAGACUCCACAGCCAGGUACCGGAGCUUCAGAGCUAAAGGCCGGGGGACUGGCGGAUACAGCCCCGAGCCUCUCAAAGACUAGGGCCAGACAUUCCCAAAUAAGCUCCAGGGAGCCCAAGGCUCCGACCUGCGUCCGAGUUACGGGCAGGCCUCCACUACCAACAUCAUCAUCAUCAUCAUCAUCAUUAUCAUUGUCAUUAUCAUUAUCAUCAUCAUCAUCAUCAUUUUCAUCACGUAGUCCUUCAGGAGCCCAGCGCACAACCUCGACCCCAACCAGGGGGAGGUCAGCCCAGCCAAAGGUGGGCCUGCAACCUGUGGCACUGCAUUUCCUCAACCUGCACCCUCUAAAGGGCGAGGGAGGGCUCGUUCCUGUGGGCUGGCUAAGAACAGCCUCCCAUGCCCUGCUUAAAGCAGGCUGGGGCUGCUCCAGGGAACAAAGGGCUCCACAGAUUGGGACUGUGCGUGGAAGCUGGAGACCUUCAACACGCCAAGGGGAAAAUACUGCGACACACCCUGACAACAGGGGGUCACGCUGGCAGGUCACCAGCAGGACAGGCAGCCAUGCAGGCAGAGACCCAGGUCCUGACUACAGGCAGGUCUCAUUGCCUGCACCACAACUAAGUGGCUUGGCACCGUCCUUGGAAAGAAGGGGCGAGUCCAGACCGUCCCUCCGCUCAUGGACUUAGAGGGGACCCCCCUGUUACUGCACAGAUCCCUGCUCUCCCUCCAGGGAGGUUUAAGCUAAGCUGCAGCAAUUAAAACAGGGGCCUAAAGGAUAAGCUCACUCACUCCCUCACCACUCACACACAUUGAUUGACAAGGACAAGACACACAAAACAGAACGUCCCAAAAAGGGAGACGGUCUCUGUGCAGCCAAUGUCUGGGGUUUCACCCUACUCACCAGCAAGAGAGGAAAGCCUCAGACCAUGCCCAGGCCUGUGUGGAA